AUGCCAAAAAUCUUUGACUGUGUGGAUCACAAUAAACUGUGGAAAAUUCUGAAAGAGAUGGGAAUAUCAGACCACCUGACCUGCCUCUUGAGAAAUCUAUGUGCAGGUCAGGAAGCAAAAGUUAGAACUGGGCAUGGAAAAACAGACUGGUUCCAAAUAGGAAAAGGAGUAUGUCAAGGCUGGAUAUUGUUACCCUGCUUAUUUAACUUCUAUGCAGAGUACAUCAUGAGAAACACUGGGCUGGAAGAGGAACAAGCUGGAAUCAAGAUUGCUGGGAGAAAUAUCGAUAACCUCAGAUAUGCAGAUGACACCACCUUUAUGGCAGAAAGUGAAGAGGAACUAAAAAGCCUCUUGAUGAAAGUGAAAGAGGAGAGUGAAAAAGUUGGCUUAAAGCUCAAUAUGCAGAAAAUGAAGAUCAUGGCAUCUGGUCCCAUCACUUCAUGGGAAAUAGAUGGGGAAACAGUGGAAACAGUGUCAGACUUUAUUUUGGGGGGCUCCAAAAUCACUGCAGAUGGUGAUUGCAGUCAUGAAAUUAAAAGACGCUUACUCCUUGGAAGAAAAGUUAUGACCAACCUAGAUAGCAUACUCAAAAGCAGAGACAUUACUUUGCCAACAAAGGUUUGUCUAGUCAAGGCUAUGGUUUUUCCAGUGGUCAUGUAUGGAUGUGAGAGUUGGACUGUGAAGAAAGCUAUGAGCCAAAGAAUUUAUGCUUUUGACCUGUGGUGUUGGAGAAGACUCUUGAGAGUCCCUUGGACUGCAAGGAGAUCCAACCAGUCCAUUCUAAAGAUCAGUCCUGGGUGUUCUUUGGAAGGACUGAUGCUAAAGCUGAAACUCCAGUACUUUGGCCACCUCAUGCACAGAGUUGACUCAUUGGAAAAGACUCUGAUGCUGGGAGGGAUUGGGGGCUGGAAGAGAAGGGGACGACAGAGGAUGAGAUGGUUGGAUGACAUCACCGACUCAAUGGACAUGAGUUUGAGUGAACUCCGGGAGUUGGUGAUGGACAGGGAGGCCUGGUGUGCUGCAAUUCAUGGGGUCGCAAAGACACGACUGAGUGACCUGAACUGA
rnacentral:lncRNA from 1 species